GUCUUGGAAUGCUUAUCUCAAUGUGUUUUGGCAUGUGAAGAGAGUUGCUCUAUACCCACAGGUGGCUGCUAUUUUCUCUUUUUACCUUUGAGAUUUGCCUUGACUGGGACUUCUUGUAUUCUUUGGUGCCAUGGAUUUUCUGCCUUUCUUCAGGGAAUCUGACCCCUUUGCUGUUAUUGGGGAUAGUGAUGAUGUGAUAAUCGACGGCCAACCCUGUGGGCCUUGUGGUGCUGAUGAGAGGCCUUGCAGAAGGAUCUAGCUGUAUUGGAGCAAUGGGUGAUCAGCAAUGGCAUGAAGUUCAGUAAAGGAAAAUGCCAGGUUCUGUAUUGGG
ensembl:lncRNA